CAACCUAGCAGUUCUGCGAGCGGUGGACUGCAAAGGACAAAGCUGGUAUAUUAGCAAGAGAAUCUACAGCAGUGGAUUCUAACUGCUGGGACAAUGGACGAAGAACUGUACACAGACUUCGAAGGACUGCGCCUUUUAGAUUUGUGCAGUGAGGAAUCUAUCCGCUCUGCGAUGAGAUAUAAACCUCUAGACGGAGACGUUAUCCUCGUGAGUUACCCGAAGAGCGGCUCCAACUGGACGCAGUUUAUCAUUUGGAACAUAUUGACACGGGGGAAUCAACCUAAUAAUGUCGGUGAAUUGGGCCUGCUGUCUCCGUUCAUUGAAGUAACUGGAGCUGGAGUUGCGGGAAACCCAGCGAGGAUUGGCCCCAUAGUCACUCACCUUCCUUACAGCGUCUUGAAGCCAGUGGACCGCGCAAAGCAUUUUAUGGUGACUACUUUGACCAUGUUCUACCCUGGUACGAACAGCGAAACAAGUCCAACAUACUGUUCAUCACCUACGAACAGCUCAAGGCUGACACAAGAGGAAUGGUUCUAAAGAUAGCGGAGUUCCUUGGUGGCAAACACUGCGCCAACCUGCGUAAUAAUGACAUUCUUAUUCAGAGAAUAUUAGAUAACUGCAGUAUGGAGAGUAUGAGGGCUAUCUUGAAGGACGGAGUAGUCGACCGGCUAAAGGAAAUCGCAAGAGUAGCGUCGGAGAAGCCAUUAAAAUCUCUUAAACUGUUAGGAAAGACGACUACGGCAAACGUGCAGAUGCAUGAGGGUGGUGGUUUUGUUCGCAAGGGAUUAGUGGGCGACUGUAAAAACUACUUCACACCGGAACAGGUGGAACGCACGAAGACCUGGAUCACGACAAAGACUCGCGGAAGUGACAUCAUGUCACUUUGGGAUGAUCUGUGUCUGCCAUAGAGAGCCGGUAGUCAACAAUGUUUCAGUAUUAUAAAACCGUGGAAAGAGAAAAAAAUGAUAUGAAGCAAUUAGAAUUGAUCAGUCGCUAAAUGCUUGGUAAGUCCUGAAGUUAGGCGUUACCUUAUGUAAAAUGUUUGGGGCGUCAUAUACAUCAAUUUUAACUUUAUACUCACCAAUAUAAGCUUUAUGGACAAAAACUCCAAAAUAUCCGGUGUGCCUUCAGUUCAGCUCUACAAUCGGACCUUUUACAGAAGCAAAGGUCCUGGGACCUUGGCAUCACAGCUCAUCAGCAACAUAGUGUCUAUAUAGUUGAAUAAUGUGUAUGAAUGAUUUGUACUCAAGUCUGUUCUCUUCUUGUAGCAGUGCUCCAUCUCCCUCCCCCGCGUAGGGCAGCAAACUUGGACGAAAUGUUGUUGGGCUCCCUGCAUUUAUUUUCUUCGCUGUCUCACCUUCUAUUUCUUUCCCUCAAUAAUUUAUGACCUAAAUAUUGAUAAUAAAAAAUACAAGGUGCCAAAAAUGUCUACACUGAAAUGUGGCAAUGUCUUUCAUUUUUCAA